UCGUUGACCGACCAUGACUGAGUAGAAUUCUGGGUAACCCAGAACGUAUGAACAGCGUCUGACAAUAUGUUUCAAAGCCAAUAUCUGUCGGGUGUUAUGUAGUUUGUUGUUUUUGUAGUAAUCUAUGUGUAGCCUGUUGUCUGGAUUAUAGUUACAUGCCUUUAGAUACCUUAUAAAAUCAACAUAUCGAACGUAAUAUGUGGUCAAACUAGACCACUCACACUGUUUUACGUUUCU
rnacentral:lncRNA from 1 species